UACGGAGGGUGCAAGCGUUGUCCGGAUUUAUUGGGUUUAAAGGGUGCGUAGGCGGCUCAUUAAGUCAGCGGUGAAAGCCUCCAGCUCAACUGGAGAACUGCCAUUGAUACUGAUGAGCUUGAGUAUACUUGAGGUAGGCGGAAUUGACAGUGUAGCGGUGAAAUGCAUAGAUAUUGUCAAGAACACCAAUUGCGAAGGCAGCUUACUAAAUUAUAACUGACGCUGAGGCGCGAAAGUGUGGGUAUCAAACAGG
rnacentral:rRNA from 1 species